CCAAUUUCUAAAAAAUAAAUAGGUAUUAUCGAACUGUGUGCCCUACCACAAACCCAACAUCUUCUUGUUUGUGUGACCUAGCAACUGUCGACGCUCCAUCUUCCUCCACCGUCGGCUGUAACACGACGCAAGUCACACAACUCCACUGUCUGAUUUCACCUUCGUUCCUAGACUUCCUCGUUGCUGUCUCUCCUUUGGGAUCCUUCCGUCUAGCCGAGACCUUAAUUGGCCAUAGCUUGUCGUUGCAUAAGCGUCGUCGGUCAUCGUCUCCCCCGUUCCGUUCUAGCCGGUCUUCUCAUGUGCAUAACCCACGUUAGUCGAACGUCUUAGUUUUCUGUGUUCGAGUCGUAGCACAUGAAGCCUUUGAUUGAACUGGCCGAGCCAUUUCUUCUCUAAUUCAAGCCGAGGAGUCUUUCUUGCCAAGUUGCGUGUGAGCCAUCCUCUUUAAGUCGAGCCACCUUCAGUUUUAGCCCCUUCUUGCAACAUAUUUGAGACAUUUGUGGAUUGAUUCUUUGGAAAAUUGGGUUAUUUGAAUUCUUAUUGUCAGCCAGAAUUUUAGCUAAUCUCAAGGUUACCAGGCGUUCAAGUCAAAGCUAGGAAAGGUAAGGCAAGCUGCUAUGCGAUGAGGCGUUAGCCAGACGGUUAAAGUUGAAGGAGCGACACUAGGCAUUUGAGGCCUUAAGUUUUAUUGUAAAACAAGCAUGUAAUAUGUACAUUUGGACGGCAUAUUAUUUAAGUAAUAAAAGAAGUCCUAUUUGAUAUAUA